GGCGCUGUGGCUUAGCAGGUGAAAGCGCCUUUCUUGUAAACAGGAGAUCCUGGGUUCGACUCCCAGCAGCGCCU